UCUCUCUAUGUAAUUGACACC
rnacentral:piRNA from 1 species